rnacentral:rRNA from 1 species
GUAAGGAAUAUUGGUCAAUGGACGAAAGUCUGAACCAGCCAUGCCGCGUGAAGGAUGAAGGCCCUCUGGGUUGUAAACUUCUUUUAUCUGGGACGAAAAAAUGGUAUUCUUACUCACUUGACGGUACCAGAGGAAUAAGCACCGGCUAACUCUGUGCCAGCAGCCGCGGUAAUACGGAGGGUGCAAGCGUUAUCCGGAUGCACUGGGUUUAAAGGGUGCGUAGGUGGGUAUUUAAGUCAGUGGUGAAAUCUCCGAGCUUAACUCGGAAACUGUCAUUGAUACUAUUUCCCUUGAAUGCCCUGGAGGUAAGCGGAAUAUGUCAUGUAGCGGUGAUAUGCUUAGAUAUGACAUAGAACACCAAUUGCGAAGGCGGCUUACUACGGGGUGAUUGACACUGAGGCACGAAAGCGUGGGGAGCAAACAGGAUUAGAAACCCCGGUAGUCC